UACGAAGGGGGCUAGCGUUGUUCGGAAUUACUAGGCGUAAAGGGCGCGUAGGCGGUGUGUCAAGUCAGGCGUGAAAGCCCCGGGCUCAACCUGGGAACCGCGCUUGAGACUGGCACGCUCGAGUUCGGGAGAGGAUGGUGGAAUUCCCAGUGUAGAGGUGAAAUUCGUAGAUAUUGGGAAGAACACCGAUGGCGAAGGCAGCCAUCUGGACCGACACUGACGCUGAGGCGCGAAAGCGGGGGGAGCAAACAGG
rnacentral:rRNA from 1 species